rnacentral:rRNA from 1 species
UACGUAGGGGCGCAAGCGUUGUCCGGAAUUAUUGGGCGUAAAGGGCUCGUAGGCGGCCUGUUGCGUCCGCUGUAGAAAUCCCGGGGCUUAACCCCGGGCGUGCAGUGGAUACGGGCGGGCUGGAGGCAGGCAGGGGAGAACGGAAUUCCCGGUGUAGCGGUGAAAUGCGCAGAUAUCGGGAGGAACACCAGUGGCGAAAGCG